GAUGAACGCUGGCGGCGUGCUUAACACAUGCAAGUCGAACGAAGCAUUUAAGACAGAUUACUUCGGUUUGAAGUCUUUUAUGACUGAGUGGCGGACGGGUGAGUAACGCGUGGGUAACCUGCCUCAUACAGGGGGAUAGCAGCUGGAAACGGCUGGUAAUACCGCAUAAGCGCACAGUACCACAUGCUACAGUGUGAAAAACUCCGGUGGUAUGAGAUGGACCCGCGUCUGAUUAGCUUGUUGGCGGGGUAACGGCCCACCAAGGCGACGAUCAGUAGCCGAACUGAGAGGGUGAACGGCCACAUUGGGAAUGAGACACGGCCCAGAAUCCUACGGGAAGCAGCAGUGGGGAAUAUUGAACAAUGGAGGAAACUCUGAUGCAGCGACGCCGCGUGAGUGAAGAAGUAGUUCGCUAUGUAAAGCUCUAUCAGCAGGGAAGAUAGUGACGGUACCUGACUAAGAAGCUCCGGAUAAAUACGUG
rnacentral:rRNA from 1 species